AUGAACGCUGGCGGCGUGCCUAAUCCAUGCCAGUCGAGCGAACAGACGAGAGUGCUUGCACUCUCUGACGUUAGCGGCGGACGGGUGAGUAACACGUGGGUAACCUACCUAUAAGACUGGGAUAACUUCGGGAAACCGGAGCUAAUACCGGAUAAUAUUUAGCUUCGCAUGAAGCAAUAGUGAAAGACGGUUCUGCUGUCACUUAUAGAUGGACCCGCGGUGUAUUAGCUAGUUGGUGAGGUAACGGCUCACCAAGGCAACGAUACAUAGCCGACCUGAGAGGGUGAUCGGCCACACUGGGACUGAGACACGGCCCAGACUCCUACGGGAGGCAGCAGUAGGGAAUCUUCCGCAAUGGACGAAAGUCUGACGGAGCAAUGCCGCGUGAGUGAAGAAGGUUUUCGGAUCGUAAAACUCUGUUGUAAGGGAAGAACAAGUACGUUAGUAACUGAACGUACCUUGACGGUACCUUACCAGAAAGCCACGGCUAACUACGUG
rnacentral:rRNA from 1 species